rnacentral:lncRNA from 1 species
CCCCUUUCUUUUGGGCACGGAAAUUAAGAAGAAGAUAGUUAUGUUUAAUUAAUUGUGGUGCACCAAAAUUAAGGAAUUAAUUAAGACAUCCUCAGUCUAACUUCUCCUUCCUCCUCUCCCUGCAUUUGGCCACCGGCAACAGUGGCGCCGGCGCCGGCGCCGGCGGUCGUCGUUCUGCCAUCCGCCUGAAAUCCUCCCCAAAUCAAACUUUAUCGGCGAUGGCAGAAAUCAUCCACAAAAAUGAGGGGGUUUUUUAGCCAAAUCAAUUCGACAAAAAAUAAGCACAAAUCAUCCCCAAUCGACAAAAAAUCAGCACAAAUCAUCCCAAAAAAUGUGGGGGUUUUGAGCAAAAUCAAUUCGACAAAAAAUCAACACAAAUCAUACCCAAUCGACCAAAAAAAUCAACACAAAUCAUCCCCAAAUCAGCACAGAUCUUCAUCGCUUACUUUGACGACGGCGGCGGAUUCAGACUGGGAAGAAGAAGACCGGCGCGACUCGCCGGAUUUUCAGAGUUUGAGGCAGCGGCGCAAAUGGCCCCACAGACCACCCUGAGACCCCCAAAUCAAGAACCCCAAACCAGACCCCCAAAUCACGACCACCAAACCACCUCCACCACCGCCGACCAUCCUCAGAUCUAGGCGGCCACGCCGCUGGCCACCCUUAGAUUUGUGCGUCUGUGUGCGUGAAACGACGCUUUCAAGGUGUGUGUGAGCGCAACGAGAGAGAGGGAGAGAGCAGAGACGAGUGUGAGGGAGGUCGGGGACGGGGCGGCGGCCGGCGCUGCUAUCUUUCGCCGGAGAAGAAAUGAGACAGAGAUGAAGAAAGCGGGAGGGGGGAGGGGGUGGCAGGGACCGAGUGUGGUGUUUGUGUGUG